GAUGAACGCUAGCGGCAGGCCUAAUACAUGCAAGUCGAACGGUGUCUUCGGACAUAGUGGCGCACGGGUGCGUAACACGUAUGCAACUUACCUUACAUUGGGGGAUAGCCUUUCGAAAGGGAGAUUAAUACCGCAUAAGACAGUAGCUGGGCAUCCAGCAGCUGUUAAAGAUUUAUCGAUGUAAGCUGGGCAUGCGUCCAAUUAGCUAGUUGGUGAGGUAACGGCUCACCAAGGCAAUGAUUGGUAGGGGAACUGAGAGGUCAAUCCCCCACACUGGCACUGAGGUACGGGCCAGACUCCUACGGGAGGCAGCAGUAGGGAAUAUUGGGCAAUGGACGCAAGUCUGACCCAGCCAUGCCGCGUGCGGGAUGAAGGCGUUAUGCGUUGUAAACUGCUUUUAUACAGGAAGAAACGACUCUUGCGAGAGGCAUUGACGGUACUGUAUGAAUAAGCACCGGCUAACUCCGUGCCAGCAGCCGCGGUAAAAC
rnacentral:rRNA from 1 species